GAUGAACGCUGGCGGCGUGCCUAAUACAUGCAAGUCGAGCGAACGGACGAGAAGCUUGCUUUUCUGAUGUUAGCGGCGGACGGGUGAGUAACACGUGGAUAACCUACCUAUAAGACUGGGAUAACUUCGGGAAACCGGAGCUAAUACCGGAUAAUAUUUUGAACCGCAUGGUUCAAAAGUGAAAGACGGUCUUGCUGUCACUUAUAGAUGGAUCCGCGCUGCAUUAGCUAGUUGGUAAGGUAACGGCUUACCAAGGCAACGAUGCAUAGCCGACCUGAGAGGGUGAUCGGCCACACUGGAACUGAGACGCGGUCCAGACUCCUACGGGAGGCAGCAGUAGGGAAUCUUCCGCAAUGGGCGAAAGCCUGACGGAGCAACGCCGCGUGAGUGAUGAAGGUCUUCGGAUCGUAAAACUCUGUUAUUAGGGAAGAACAUAUGCGUAAGUAACUGUGCACAUCUUGACGGUACCUAAUCAGAAAGCCACGGCUAACUACGUG
rnacentral:rRNA from 1 species